ACACACACACACACACAAAUGUACAUACAAUUCCAGGUUGCUCACAGACCCCCUCUAGGAGAUGUCACUGUCGCUCAUUCGUAUUUCCGGUUCUACUCCUCUUCCGGGCACACUGGAGAAUUACACUUCCUUGCUGACUUGAGAUAAGUCACAGCUUUGGCCAAUGAAGUGUGAAUGGAAGUUUUCAGAACCUUUAAGAGCCUGUACGCAAUUUGCCAUGCUUUCUCUUUUUGCUUUGUCACCAAAACCUGUGUGUUCCAGAGAGCGACUACUCUGUCUGCGUGGGUCCUGGAGAGAGGAGGAUGCAGAGCACAGCACUUAGCCAACCUGCAAUGGACACGUAGAAUCCUCCUUACUGUCUUGUGUUCAAUGCUGAAGACCUGGUGUCCAUGCCUAACAUAACCUGAAGGUGCCUCUUGAAUGGAUCACAUUUGGCUUUCCUUAUGUCCUUGCUCACUAUCAUGGCUACCACGAGAGCCAAGGCAACCCACAGAGAUGGACUUGAAGUGAGAAAUCUACUCUGACCUUUGCCAGAACAUCCAGCUCAGAUUUUGGCCUAGAAACCUCAAGAAAGGCUCUGGCCUAGACUUUCCCCUUGUUCCUGUCUUCUGGCUCUUGACUGACACUGGUGCUUUCCCCCUGUGGUGCUGCAUGGUGUGUGGUGACUACCUCACUGGGCCCUAAAACUUCUAAAAUCAUCAGGAGAUAUCACUGAAAAGGUUUCAAAACAAAGCCAUAAUCUCUAGAAAUGUGUCCUUGAUGGGUUGGUCUUCAUUUGCCUGAAGAUGCCGCCUUGCUUUCUCAUUGGAUGGUCUCUAAAGAGAGAAAGAAGAAAGAAAAGGAAAAACUGUGAAGAAAUGAUGUAAGAUGAAAGUGACAAGAGUGGCUGUUCAAUGUCAUUUCACCUUAUGAAUUCUGAAGAUUUUCAACGUGAAAACCAGGCUCCCAAGGCCGUCGUAGUUGUUCACUAUUUCUUAACCUUGGUUACAUGUUAGAAAUGCUUGGGGAGGUUUUAAAAUUCCCCAUGCCCAGACCAAUUAAAUCAGAAUCUCUGAAUAGGAAACCCAGACAGCAGCAUUUUUAAGGCUUCCCGGGUGAUUCCAAUGUGUAGAAUCACUGCUCUAACAAGACAUGUUAGCUCCUCCCUCAGACUCUAACGCUGAUCAGCUGGGGUAUAAGCUUUUCUGAGUAGGAAACAGCUGAGUAUAAGCAAGGGCAUUUCUUUAGGGGCAGCAAGGUACAAAGUAAGGUUAAGCAGCGACCCAGCAGCGAAUAAAGUUACACUUUAAUUUCGAAAUAAAACCUCUAAUUUUAUUGAGUCAAGCUUCAUUUUAUCUUCUAGCUUUUUUCUCUUUUUCUGUCCCAUAAAAUUAUAGUGAUAAAACAGUAAUGUUAAUGGGAUCAAUACUGUUUAUUAUUAAAGGUGGAUGUCAUACCUUUUCUUGACAGUCCUCAAUGAACAACCACAGCUAAA